CCUACGGGUGGCUGCAGUGGGGGAUUUUGCACAAUGGGGGGAACCCUGAUGCAGCGACGCCGCGUGGGUGACGGAGUGCCUCGGGUUGUAAACCGCUAUCAGCAGGGAAGAUGCAAGACGGUACCUGCAGAAGAAGCUCCGGCUAACUACGUGCCAGCAGCCGCGGUAAUACGUAGGGGGCGAGCGUUAUCCGGAUUCAUUGGGCGGAAAGGGCGCGUAGACGGCCUGCUAAGCGGGAGCUCUAACCCCGGGGCUCAACCCCGGGCCGGGUCUCGGACUGGGCGGCUCGAGUGCGGUAGAGGAGGGCGGAAUUCCUGGUGUAGCGGUGGAAUGCGCAGAUAUCGGGAAGAACACCGACGGCGAAGGCAGCCCGCUGGGCCGCCACUGACGUUGAGGCGCGAAAGCGGGGGGAGCGAACAGGAUUAGAUACCCGUGUAGUC
rnacentral:rRNA from 1 species